rnacentral:rRNA from 1 species
GACGUAGGGCGCGAGCGUUGUCCGGAUUUAUUGGGCGUAAAGAGCUCGUAGGCGGCUUGUCGCGUCGUUCGUGAAAACCUGGGGCUCAACCCCAGGCUUGCGGGCGAUACGGGCAGGCUAGAGUUCGGUAGGGGAGACUGGAAUUCCUGGUGUAGCGGUGAAAUGCGCAGAUAUCAGGAGGAACACCGGUGGCGAAGGCGGGUCUCUGGGCAUUUCCUGACGCUGAGGCGCGAAAGCGUGGGGAGCAAACGGG